AUUGAACGCUGGCGGCAUGCCUAACACAUGCAAGUCGAGCGGAUGAAGGGAUCUUUGCCCUUGGUUCAGCGUCGGACGGGUGAGUAAUGCAUAUGGAUCUGCGUGCUAUUGUGGGAUAACGUCCGGAAACGGCCGCUAAUACCGCACACAUGCUGAGGGGGUGAGUGCGGGGGCUUUUGACCCCACGCUAUCUGAUGUUCCUAGGUCGGAUUAGCUAGUUGGUGGGGUAAAGGCCUACCAAGGCGACGAUCCGUAACUGGUCUGAGAGGAUGAUCAGUCACACUGGAACUGAGACACGGUCCAGACUCCUACGGGAGGCAGCAGUGGGGAAUAUUGGACAAUGGGCGAAAGCCUGAUCCAGCCAUGCCGCGUGUGUGAAGAAGGUCUUCGGAUUGUAAAGCACUUUAAGUUGGGAGGAAGGGCAGUAAGUUAAUACAUUGCUGUUUUGACGUUACCAAAAGAAUAAGCACCGGCUAACUUCGUG
rnacentral:rRNA from 1 species